rnacentral:ncRNA from 1 species
UGGACGAGACUUAGAAUUUCUUAGACUUUUCUUCUGUAUAACAGCUGCGUCGCGCCACGGACGGCGCGACGAGGCGAUGCUGAGGCAGGACGCCGAAUCAUCGCCGGCAGCGUAACUAAUCCUCCGCUCUCGGAAAAGUCUUAGAAAUUCAAGU